rnacentral:lncRNA from 1 species
UUCACUCGCAUUUCGUUUAGAAACCCUCAGUUUACGUAAGCCUCACCGAUCGCCGGAGAAUCGCCACGAAACCGUCGCCUGUCGCCGGAAAUUAGCUUCAGCAACUUUCUAUCUAGGUUGAUAUAUGGACAUGGUCGAUGAUAGGAUUUCGUGUAGACGUUGAAUUAAGAGUAACCUCGUGUGACCACACAUCCAUCUCAACAUCCUCAUCUCUGCUUCUUCCAUCUUGCGCGCUUAAGUCUUCUUGAUGGCCCAAUAGUCUGUCCCAUAUAACAAAGACCAA